ACACCUGUUCCCAUGCCGAACACAGAAGUUAAGCUCCUUAGCGCCGAUGGUAGUCGGACUGACGUUCCGCUAGAGUAGGGCGUUGCCAGGC
rnacentral:rRNA from 1 species